rnacentral:tRNA from 1 species
GUUACUGUAGUUGAAUACAACGGUGGUUUUUCACUUCACUGGUCUCGGUUAAAAUCCGGGCAGAAACU